rnacentral:rRNA from 1 species
GGGCCCGCACAAGCGGUGGAGUAUGUGGUUUAAUUCGAUGCAACGCGAAGAACCUUACCAGGGUUUGACAUCCAGAGAACUUUUCAGAGAUGAAUUGGUGCCUUCGGGAACUCUGAGACAGGUGCUGCAUGGCUGUCGUCAGCUCGUGUUGUGAAAUGUUGGGUUAAGUCCCGCAACGAGCGCAACCCUUAUCCUUGUUUGCCAGCGAGUAAUGUCGGGAACUCCAGGGAGACUGCCGGUGAUAAACCGGAGGAAGGUGGGGACGACGUCAAGUCAUCAUGGCCCUUACGAGUAGGGCUACACACGUGCUACAAUGGCGCAUACAGAGGGCAGCCAACUUGCGAGAGUGAGCGAAUCCCAAAAAGUGCGUCGUAGUCCGGAUCGGAGUCUGCAACUCGACUCCGUGAAGUCGGAAUCGCUAGUAAUCGUGGAU